rnacentral:sRNA from 1 species
AAGUAAGCUGAAAUCAAAAUGUUCAGUAAUGUAGUCUGAUUGUGCCUCCUCCCACGUGAUUAUAGACUACUAUCACUUGGAAUUAUCAUUGGAAAAGUCAUUACCUGAAAUCUACCAUAGAGCUAUCAACAUCACAUCUUCCUUGCCAUGUUUUAUACAUUCUGAGGCUCCGAAUGGUGACUGCGUUUUGCGGUGCGGAAGAAGUGCGGUGCGGUUCAAAUAGGAACGAAAAUACAUAGAUACAUAUGUAUAUGUAAAGAUUUUGAUACUGUUACAGCACUGUUGCGAUACGGUUUUGGUUACCAUUCACAGCCUGAGUAUCACCACCUACUUUUGUUUGUCAUCUGUCAAAACAUGAAUCUCAAACAUGUAGAGAAGCAAAGGAGGUGUUUGCAUCAAUGGCGAGGGAUGACUCUAGCAUCUCUAAGCCUCAUUCGCGAA